rnacentral:rRNA from 1 species
GACGAACGCUGGCGGCGUGCCUAAUACAUGCAAGUCGAACGGAAAGGCCCUGCUUUUGUUGGGUGCUUGAUUGGCGAACGGGUGAGUAACACGUGAGUAUCCUGCCCCUGACUUUCGGAUAACUUCAGGAAACUGGGGCUAAUAUCGGUUAGGAGCUCCUGCUGCAUGGGGGGCGUUGGAAAGUUUCGGCGGUUGGGGAUGGUCUCGCGGCUUAUCAGCUUGUUGGUGGGGUAGUGGCUUACCAGGGCUUUGACGGGUAGCCGGCCUGAGAGGGUGACCGGCCACAUUGGGACUGAGAUACGGCCCAGAAUCCUACGGGAAGCAGCAGUGGGGAAUAUUGCACAAUGGGCGGAAGCCUGAUGCAGCAACGCCGCGUGCGGGAUGACGGCCUUCGGGUUGUAAACCGCUUUCGCCUGUGACGAAGCGUGAGUGACGGUAAUGGGUAAAGAAGCACCGGCUAACUACGUG